ACUAGGAAUUUUGCGCAAUGGGGGCAACCCUGACGCAGCGACACAGCGUGGAGGAGGAAGGUCUUCGGAUUGUAAACUCCUUUUAUAUGGGAAGAAUAGAUGACUGUACCAUAUGAAUAAGCACCUGCUAACUACGUGCCAGAAGCAUCGGUGAUGCGUAGGGUGCGAACGUUAUCCGGAUUUAUUGGGCGUAAAGAGAUGCGUAGGCGUUUCAGUUAGUCUUUCGUUAAAAGUCACGGCUUAACCGUGAAGAUGCGUUGGAUACUGCUGAAAUUGAGACAUGAAGGUGUGAACGGAACUCCAAGUGGAGCGGUGAAAUGCGUUGAUAUUUGGAAGAACAUCAGAGGCGAAGGCGGUUCACUGGUCAUUGUCUGACGCUAAGGCUCGAAAGCGUGGGUAGCAAAACGGAUUAGAUACCCUGGUAGUCC
rnacentral:rRNA from 1 species